UCUGAAUUCCUGGGAAUCUGACGUAAAGGGUUUUCCACAUUCAUCCACCACCUACCUUUGCCAGUUUGGUGUUCACCCUCACCUCCCUAACCUGAGGAACCAGUUGAGACCGGAUCUGUGCACCAAUACUGUAACUUAUCCACACCUGCGGUGACUCCCUGCCCUGGUCCCAGGGACAGUACUCCAGGAGCAAUCAAGGGAUUCCUGAGGGCAGGAGCUGGGUCCGUCUGGCUCACGGGCGGGGUGUUCCCAUUGCACACUCUCCAGUACGAAGUCGGUGCUCGAUAGCCAUCUGGAUUUCCAUGUCAAGGGGUGAUACGCCCUUUGUUCCUUUGUCAUCCUGGACUCUUCUUUUCCUGACCACCACCCCAUCUGCUCAAUGAUCAAGCCUGUGACCCCACUACCUGGUAACGCUGUGCCUGUGUGCUCGUCUCCACCUCAGCUUUCUUACCUUAGCUCAAGCCCCAGCAUCACUCUCCUUUGUUACUGCUGCAGCCUUCUAACUGGCUUCCUGGCUCCAGCUUGCCUAUCUUCAAUCUCAUCUCUAUGCUGCUGCCAGAAUAAACUUUCUGGGAUGUA